rnacentral:rRNA from 1 species
CCAUGCAUGUGUAAGUAUAAAUAAUUCUACUUUGAAACUGCGAAUGGCUCAUUAUAUCAGUUAUAGUUUAUUAGAAAUAAUUUACUACUUGGAUAACCGUAGUAAUUCUAGGGCUAAUACGUGAGUAAAUCCUCGACUUUGAAGAGGUGUGUUUAUUAGUAUGAAAACCAUAUGCUUUUGCAUAAUAGUGAGUAAUAAUAACCUUUCAUAUCGUAUGUUGUAAUAACGAUAGUUCUUUCAAGUUUCUGCCCUAUCAGCUUUCGAUGGUAGUGCAUUGGACUACCAUGGCAGUAACGGGUAACGAAGAAUUUGGGUUCGAUUUCGGAGAGGGAGCCUGAGAGAUGGCUACCACAUCCAAGGAAGGCAGCAGGCGCGUAAAUUACCCAAUCCUGACAUAGGGAGGUAGUGACAAUAAAUCACAAUGCGGGACUUUUAGUUUUGCAAUUGGAUUGAGAACAAUGUAAAAGAGUUAUCGAUAAACAAUUGGAGGGCAAGUCUGGUGCCAGCAGCCGCGGUAAUUCCAGCUCCAAUAGCGUAUAUUAACGUUGUUGCAGUUAAAAA